rnacentral:sRNA from 1 species
GUAGAAAUGGAAGGUAAGGAACUUUCAUCUCUAUAAAAUUUUAUAAGCAUAAGGAGGCUUAUA